GCCCGUGUAGCUCAGACGGAUAGAGUGUCGCGCUACGAACGCGAAGGUCAGGGGUUCGACUCCCUUCACGGGUA
rnacentral:tRNA from 1 species